rnacentral:rRNA from 1 species
GUGCCAGCAGCCGCGGUAAUACGUAGGUGGCAAGCGUUGUCCGGAAUCAUUGGGCGUAAAGCGCGCGCAGGCGGUCCUUUAAGUCUGAUGUGAAAUCUUGCGGCUUAACCGCAAGCGGUCAUUGGAAACUAGAGGACUUGAGUGCAGAAGAGGAAAUCGGAAUUCCAUGUGUAGCGGUGAAAUGCGUAGAGAUAUGGAGGAACACCAGUGGCGAAGGCGGCUUUCUGGUCUGCAACUGACGCUGAGGCGCGAAAGCGUGGGGAGCAAACAGGAUUAGAAACCCCUGUAGUCC